rnacentral:tRNA from 1 species
GAGGAUGUAACUCAGUGGUGGAGUGUGUGCUUAGCAUGCACGAGGUCCUGGGUUCACUCCAUAGUAUCUCCA